UGGCUCAGGACGAACGCUGGCGGCGCGCCUAACACAUGCAAGUCGAACGAGCGAGAGAGAGCUUGCUUUCUCGAGCGAGUGGCGAACGGGUGAGUAACGCGUGAGGAACCUGCCUCAAAGAGGGGGACAACAGUUGGAAACGACUGCUAAUACCGCAUAAGCCCACGGCUCGGCAUCGAGCAGAGGGAAAAGGAGCAAUCCGCUUUGAGAUGGGCUCGCGUCUGAUUAGCUAGUUGGUGGGGUAACGGCCCACCAAGGCGACGAUCAGUAGCCGGACUGAGAGGUUGAACGGCCACAUUGGGACUGAGAUACGGCCCAGACUCCUACGGGAGGCAGCAGUGGGGAAUAUUGGGCAAUGGGCGAAAGCCUGACCCAGCAACGCCGCGUGAAGGAAGAAGGCCUUCGGGUUGUAAACUUCUUUUAAGAGGGACGAAGAAGUGACGGUACCUCUUGAAUAAGCCACGGCUAACUACGUG
rnacentral:rRNA from 1 species